AAAAAAAAAAAAAUAAAAAAAAGGAAAACAAAAAAUCCUUCCUGCCAAAUUCCUUCAAUCCCUUAUGCCCAUCCUCAAUCUCUUCCCUCCAAACAUACAAAUAGUAGAAAAAGGUACUUAUGAUUAUCUUUGAUUUGUUUUUCAUCACCAUAGAUUGCAUAGAACGUAAUGAAACCAAACCUAUUGAUGAUAAUACCAAUUGUUCAUCUCCUCCUAGAGCAAGUGUCACACAAGCACAUGUAAAUUUGAGCAGUUACACUUGAAAGAUAAGUGUUACGAACCAAAAAAAAUUGUUAUGUGAAAGGACUUUGAAUCAUCACAAAUUUAAUAACUACAGGUAUUAAUUGGAGGCAUAUAGCUGAACUUCCAGUACCACAUUUUUCUGGAGUAAAACAUCAGUAAACUCUUUAACUAAGAAAAGGGGAUGGUUACAUUGUGAAACUCUUAGUGGAGGGAACAAACUUACGUUUUCAAGUCUAGAGAUUUCAUUUCCUCAAUGGGACUCGACUUUUUCUCUGAAGUUCCUGAAAAAUGGAAAGAACCAACAAAAUUCAAACAAUUGCACUAUCACAAUAAAACUGAUAUAGGCAGACCUACAGAAGAAGAAGAGAAGAGAGAAAUCCCAUGAAAAUUAAUGCAUUACCUUCUUCUAUAAUAUACCAUAAAGUAAAAUAUGGUAAGCAAAUAUAGCCAAGAAAUGCUAAUAUGACUAACUUUCAGUCAAAGCAUGUAUAUCAAGAGGCCAGUAAGUUUCACAUGAGAAAGAAGAUAAAGGAGCUAGUUAGAAUCACCUUCAGAUGACUCUGGUUUAUAUCUGGCUGUUCUGUACUUCUGCAGGUGGCUUUUAACAUGGUAGAUGGUCAAGCCUUCGACAUUCAUAAGCUUUAAAACACCCUUUGGUGUUGCUCGUUCACUUCCACCAAGCUUAUUGACAGCUUCCACAAAAGCCUCAUGAAGUUCUGGUGUCCAGCGCAUUCGGGGUUUUGUUAAGGGUGCAGUACAAGUUGGGUUAGCAGGAUAUGGUUCUCCAUCACAUACAUGUUGAGGCUGAUGAAUUUGGGGUUGAACUGAGAUUUCAGAAGAUGAUUUCAGCACCUUUUGUUUCAUAUCUGUGGCGUUAGCUUCAUUAAGAAGUUCACUCCAAUUUGGGUCCAGAUCAUCAUCAACAGAGAUCAACUGAUCUGCCCACUCCUGCCAAUCUGUUUUCUUAGAAAGAUCCUCAGAUGCAACGACACCAAUAUUACUUUCCACUUGACCAUUUUGGAUGCUGACACUUGCAGGAAAAUCAAGCAAGUCAUGAAAUGGAUCUAUAGACCAGGGCAUAUCCUUAUUUUCUUCAGAGUGGCUAAUCAGUGCUGUGGAUUUCACUUCAGAAUGGGAAGAAUAGGUUGGUGCCACUGGCAAAGUUCCCCUGUCCCUUGAUGACUGAAUGAAUGGAGAAAUUAGAGGUGAAACUGAAGAGCUGUUUAAUUCAUUGGGAAAUCUCAAAGAUGAAGAAAACAUGUGUCCAGUGGUCCCAGUAUUUGGACCCAAUGGAGAUGCCUGUUGAGGUAAUGGGUUUCUUAUCAUCUCCCUUUCUGAAGUAACCUGGAAAGAAUCAGGUAAUUUAGGGUACUUGUCUUCAAGAGGGGUAGGAAGAACUGGCAAAGAUGAAGACAUGGCUAGUUAGUAGCUUUGCCCCUGAUCCCAAAAGUUUCGAAAAUCGAGAUGUGAGUAUCUAAAAGGUGGUGACUGGAUAAGAACCUAAUGUUUUGGAGGCUAUAACGCAAGCAAAGGAAGAAUAUCGACUCACGAUACUACUAUUUCU
rnacentral:misc_RNA from 1 species